UGAAUACGAGACGCUAAGGCGUCGAAGUAGUGUAUGUCAUACUUCCAAGAAAAGCUUGCACUGUCAUAGAUAAAAAACGCCUGUACCAUAACCGACACAGGUGGGUAGGUAGAGUAUACUAAGGGGCGCGAGAUAACUCUCUCUAAGGAACUCGGCAAAAUAACUCCGUAACUUCGGGAGAAGGAGUGCCUUAUUCGUAAGGUUGCAAUAACAAGAUCCAAGCAACUGUUUAUCAAAAACACAGGUCUCCGCUAAGUCGUAAGACGAUGUAUGGGGGCUGACGCCUGCCCAGUGCCAGAAGGUUAAAGAAGUUGGUUAGCAAUUGCGAAGCUGAUAACUGAAGCCCUGGUGAACGGCGGCCGUAACAAUAACGGUCCUAAGGUAGCGAAAUUCCUUGUCGGGUAAGUUCCGACCCGCACGAAAGGCGUAAUGAUUUGGAUACUGUCUCGGAGAGGGGCUCGGUGAAAUAGACUUGUCUGUGAAGAUGCGGACUACCUGCACCAGGACAGAAAGACCCUAUGAAGCUUUACUGUAACUUGAAAUUGAAAUUGGACUUUAUUCGCGCAGUAUAGGUGGGAGGCGUUGAUUAUAAUCUUGUGGGAUUAUUGGAGCCAUCAGUGAGAUACCACUCUUGUAAUGUUAGAUUUCUAACUUUGAAUCAUUAUCUGGUCAAAGAACAGUUUCAGGCGGGCAGUUUGACUGGGGCGGUCGCCUCCUAAACGGUAACGGAGGCGUACAAAGGUUUCCUCUGAACGGUUAGAAAUCGUAUCUAGAGUGUAAAGGCAUAAGGAAGCUUGACUGUGAGACCUACAAGUCGAGCAGGGACGAAAGUCGGUCUUAGUGAUCUGACGGUACUGAGUGGAAAGGCCGUCACUCAACGGAUAAAAGUUACUCUAGGAUAACAGGCUGAUCUCCCCCAAGAGUUCACAUCGACGGGGAGGUUUGGCACCUCGAUGUCGGCUCAUCGCAUCCUGGGGCGGUAGUACGUCCCAAGGGUUGGGCUGUUCGCCCACGAAAGCGGUACGCGAGCUGGGUUCAGAACGUCGUGAGACAGUUCGGUCCAUAUCCGGUGUAGGCGUUAGAAUAUUGAGAGGAGCCUUCUUUAGUACGAGAGGACCGAGAAGGACAUACCUCUGGUGUACCAGUUAUCGUGCCAACGGUAAACGCUGGGUAGCUAUGUAUGGAGUGGAUAACCGCUGAAAGCAUCUAAGUGGGAAGCCCACCUCAAGAUAAG
rnacentral:rRNA from 1 species